UUCUACAACACUGCAUAAAAGGCUCAGUGCUGUACAACUUUACAUGUGGUCAAGAAUUAAUUAGUCUCUGGUUUGCUACUGACUCCAGCUCCUUUCCUUGGGCUGCCAAUAGAAGAGCUGAGUGACAGAAAAAGCUAACAAUUACCUGAACCAAAGCUAUUCAACAACAAAAGCUCAUCUUUAUAGAGACAUGAAAGCUGUGAUUGGACUACAGUUGAUGCUGAUAGGAGUCUGUUGUGGUUUGAAAUCUUCCUGUGUUGCCAUUCAUGAUGGAGUUAAAUGCUAUGGAUCUUUGGGAGGAACAUUGAACAUUCAGAUAAUGGCUGAUGCCUCAAAAAUACCUUAUUUCAAGUGGACAAAGAGCUGCUCAGUGUUACUGCGCUGGAUGGCCAACAAGAUUAUAACCCGUAUAAGAGACAGCAGAUUUCACUUUUUUCCAAGUAAUGGGACAGUUAGGAUCACUAACCUGAAAGCGGAGGACUCUGGUCUAUAUGAACUUGAUCUGAUUAGUGAAAAUGGAGAAUACAACUGCUCAAAAGCUCUUCAGCUGUACGUUGAAGCUCCUGUGUCUUCUGCCUGGCUAGUCUCUAAGUGUGCGUCCUUGGGUAAGCAGAGGGUGUUCUGCUUUUCUGAGGCAGGGGACAAUACUUGGUACAAAUGGACUCUGGAUGGACAACCACUGAAAGGCUUUCAGAACAUGUAUGGGAACAUUCUUGCCAGCACAAUUCUUCUGAAUCCAAAGACAACAGGUAAUCUGGGCUGCUCAAUCAGAAAUCACAUCAGUCAUUCCUUCAAAGAGAUGAAGCUAACCAGCUGUGUGACGGGUGGGAGAAAAAAAUCAGGUUAGCCCUGGACGAAACUGUCCCACAGAAAUCGUUGUGAAGAGGAAUAUAUUGGCCAUUUUGCCCAGGUUGUUGCUUGCCUUUUGAUUGCUGGAGAUCGGCCCUGGCCCAACUGGUGACCCUGCAAGGAUAAUCAUAUUCAGAUAAUGGAUGGAUGGAAGAAUAAAAUAUGAAAAACCUGA